rnacentral:rRNA from 1 species
AAGUCGUAACAAGGUCUCCGUUGGUGAACCAGCGGAGGGAUCAUUACCGAGUUUACAACUCCCAAACCCCUGUGAACAUACCUAUACGUUGCCUCGGCGGAUCAGCCCGCGCCCCGUAAAACGGGACGGCCCGCCCGAGGACCCCUAAACUCUGUUUUUAGUGGAACUUCUGAGUAAAACAAACAAAUAAAUCAAAACUUUCAACAACGGAUCUCUUGGUUCUGGCAUCGAUGAAGAACGCAGCAAAAUGCGAUAAGUAAUGUGAAUUGCAGAAUUCAGUGAAUCAUCGAAUCUUUGAACGCACAUUGCGCCCGCCAGUAUUCUGGCGGGCAUGCCUGUCCGAGCGUCAUUUCAACCCUCAAGCUCAGCUUGGUGUUGGGACUCGCGGUAACCCGCGUUCCCCAAAUCGAUUGGCGGUCACGUCGAGCUUCCAUAGCGUAGUAAUCAUACACCUCGUUACUGGUAAUCGUCGCGGCCACGCCGUAAAACCCCAACUUCUGAAUGUUGACCUCGGAUCAGGUAGGAAUACCCGCUGAACUUAA